UCGUGCGUAUGCGUAUUGUUACUUUUGCAAUGGUGUUUUUUUGUCUUGGUGAGUAAAUGUUUUGUGAAUGGAGCUUUUAAGUAACCUACUUACGAAGGCUUAUUGGUUCAUGUGUAUGGAGGUUUACUCGUGACAAAAGAUCGAAACUUGUUCGAAAGAUUACUAAAAUUCUUCUAAACAAAUUCGAAGGUCCCUUCUACAGGUAGACAUGUGUGCCGCGGGAAAAACAACAGAGAUACAUCCUUGAGUUUGCGAAAACCCACACAUGGGAUCCUUUGAUAACGGGACUGUUCAAGCUUAUUUUGAGGAAAUCUGUCAAAAGCGGAUCAAAGACAUGGUUAGCACUGUGAGGACUAGUCGAGUUCAACCAAACUGGAUUUGAAACACUCUCUGGAGAACGAUGGAGGAUUACUGGACACUGAAGAAGCACAACAAAAGAGUAAAACCUACUCUGAUGCCCAUAUGUCUGACCGUAACGGCCUAGGUCCUCACGUCCACCUCUCAGGGCCAAAGUCGUAUUGACAGCUUCAAGACGAAAUGGUUGAGGAAUUGGGAAGAGAAGUUCGACUUGGUGAGGUUUUUAUCAAGGCACAUACAAAGCCUGAUAGUACAUAUGUUGAUUGGAAGGCAGAGAAGAUUGCAGAAACAAAUGAGAAGACUGUUCAAGAGAGGUUGUCUCAGCUCGAGGCAGAGUCUUUUGCUGUGUCAGAUGGAGAAUCACGGCCACGGGACC